rnacentral:lncRNA from 1 species
ACUGCAACACAGGUGCUGGAAAGUAGUGAGAGGCUGGUGCACCUGCAGAGCGAGCUCUCUUGUCUGCAGCGGAUCCAGAAAGACAACAUGAAGGAGAUUGCUGAGAAAAACAUCUGCAUCACCAAGCUGCAAGCUAACAUUCAGCUGCUGCAACAAGAGGGGGCCGACACACAUGCUCAGCUCUCCAAACUGAGUGUGAGAGCGAAGGAGCUUCAGCAGGAUGAGCUGAAGAGAAAAGAGGAGGAAUGGAGGCAAAGAGAAGAGGAACAGAGACUGAAACAUGAAAAGGAGAUUCAACAAGCAGAGGAGAGGAGAAGGCAGGAGCAACAAACAAGAGAGGAGGAGGAGUGGGUGAAGAAAGUGGAGGAGGAGAGGAAGAGGCAGGAGUGGAAGAGGGAGCGUGAGGAGGAGAGAAAGACCCUUGCUGAAGCUGUUAAAAAGUGGUCUGAGAAGGCAGCUAUUUUGAAUUCUGAGUCUCCAGGAACUGUCAAGAGACUGCACUGUUGCUACCAGGUCAAAUCUCCUGACAACCUGACAGCAUGGUGGUAGGUGAUUUGAAGGUCAGCAGGAAGCAGGUGGAGCGACAGAACAGGGAGCUGUCAGAGUCUCACCAGAAGGAGGAGACGCUUCUCUCUGAGGCCGAGGCCAAAAUGGUGUCUUUGAGGUGCGAGCUCACCGCCUUAUUUGAUGGAAUGAUGGAGAAGAAAGGGGUGAGGAUAAACCAACUAACUGAAGAGCUGAAUGCAGUGACUCAAAAGAUGAAAGAGAGAGAAGAGCAUGUGAGGCACCUGGACCAGGAUGUGGUUGGUUUGCGAGCCACACAGGACUCUCUAAAGAGAACCUUGGCUAUGAAGGAGGAACACACACAACAGCUGGUCCAAGACAACACGCAGCUCAAAGAAAGCUUGGCUUCACUGCAGAGCAAACUACAAACGAGCGAGUGCAUGUUGAGUGACAUCAGUGAAUCCCUGGAUCAGGCCAAAAUCGCCCUGAAUGCGGAAAGACAGCAGAGGCAGCAGAUCCAGGACCAGUUGCACCAUGCCAACAAAGAGAUGGAGCGUCUGCGGCAGGAACUGACACAUGUGCGUCACACCAGUGAAAAGAAGAUCCAGAAGAGGGAGAUUAAGAUGUGCGUGAUGAUGAAAGAGCUCACAGAGAGUAAGAAGCAGCACUCUGAAUGUCAGAACGAGUUGCUCCGAAGAGAGAAAGCUUCUGAGAAACUGUACGAGGAGAGGGAUGAACUGAUAGCCAAGAUGGAGGACCGGGGCAGAGAGUGUGUCCACCUCAACCAGACCAAAGACAGACUGGAGGCGGAUUUGGCUCUGAGCCAUGAGAAACUCCACACCUCACACCUGGAGGUUCGAAGCAGAGAUCAGUUAAUUCUGCAGUUGAGAGCUGAAAUGAAAACAGCUGAACAAAAGCAUCAAAGGACACAGGGACAGGUGGCAGCGCUGGAGGGUGAGUUAAGCCACUUGAAACCCAAGGUCAGAGGACACCAGGAAGAGGCCUGUCAGUUAAGAGAAAAGGUCAGAGGUAUUGAGCGCCUUAAAGACCAGAAGGAGAAAGAACAACAGCAGCUACACGAUCAGCUCCGUAUUAGUCAGCAACAGGUCGAGACAUUUGAAGGGAAGCUAAAGGAGCAGGAGGUUGAGAUGGGACUUCUUCAUCAGCAGCUUAAAGGAGCCAAGGAGGAGCUGAAAGAUGCCCAGGGGCAGAAAGAAACUGCAGCCAUCUUUAAACAAAAGUACACAGCAGCAAUAGAGAAGGUGCAUAGGGUGCAAGAGCAUGUGGAACUUUUGGAUGAGGAGCUACAGUAUUCACAGCAACAGCUAAGAGAGUCCCAAUCAGCAACUCAGUCGGUGAAGGAAGAGCUAGCUGAGAUGGUGAAGCGGUACCAGGAAAAGGUUGGCCAAUGGGAGAAUGCACAGGAGGCUCUUGACCAGUUGACAGAUGAGCUCCAGGCCAAUCAGAAUCUGCUGAAGGAGAGUCAGCAAAAAGUGGACCUUCUCAAAGGUCUUAUAGGAUCACUGCAGGAACAGGUGGACACACUCAAACAGCAGGUCAGGACAAACAUGUUCACAUUAUAUACACUAGCGUAUGUAGACCCAACAAUAACAGGCAUAAAUCCAGACACAAAUACACAUUCAGCACUCAGAUUAUUCUUUAUUCCGCUGUGGAGAUCCUGAUUUGUAUGUAUC